rnacentral:rRNA from 1 species
UUCACCUACGGGACGCAGCAGUAGGGAAUCUUCCACAAUGGGCGAAAGCCUGAUGGGGCAACGCCGCGUGGGUGAAGAAGGUCUUCGGAUCGUGAAACCCUGUUGUUAGAGAAGAAAGUGCGUGAGAGUAACUGUUCACGUUUCGACGGUAUCUAACCAGAAAGCCACGGCUAACUACGUGCCAGCAGCCGCGGUAAUACGUAGGUGGCAAGCGUUAUCCGGAUUUAUUGGGCGUAAAGGGAAGGCAGGCGGUCUUUUAAGUCUGAUGUGAAAGCCUUCGGAUUAACCGGAGUAGUGCGUAGGAA